UACGUAGGUGGCAAGCGUUGUCCGGAAUUAUUGGGCGUAAAGCGCGCGCAGGCGGUCUCUUAAGUCUGAUGUGAAAUCCCGUGGCUUAACCACGGGCGGUCAUUGGAAACUGGGGGACUUGAGUGCAGAAGAGAAGAGCGGGAUUCCACGUGUAGCGGUGAAAUGCGUAGAGAUGCGGAGGAACACCGAUGGCGAAGGCAGCCCCCUGGGCUAACACUGACGCUCAGGCACGAAAGCGUGGGGAGCAAACAGG
rnacentral:rRNA from 1 species